AAAUUAUAUUAGUGAUUAAAUAAUGGGGAUGAUUGCAUGUAAAUUUUUGUGUGUUAUUUUUAUAUUUACUAAAAGUAUAUAUAAAUUUAUUGUUAAUUAUAUUCUCAGCUUUUAUUUUUGUAAAAUUUAAUUUUUUAAGAUAUAGCUCCUUUAAAUUUGAUUGACUAAAAUUGUGCCAGCAGUCGCGGUUAUACACUUAAUCAUAAUUAAUAUUUUUUCUUAUGUAUUAUUUUUAUUUAAUUGAUAAUAAUAACUAUUUGAUUUUGGGUAAAAUUUAAUUGUUAGUAUAUUAUUUGGUAAUUCAUUAUAUGAAAUUCUUUUUUAAACAAGGAUUAGAUACCCUUUUAUUUUGAAUGUAAAUUUUAUGUUUAGUAUUAUUAGUUGUUCUAUAAAUUAAAAGAAUUUGACGGUAAUUUGAUCAUUCUAGAGGAGCCUGUUCUUUAAUUGAUAAUCCACGAUAAAUUUUACCUUAAUUUAUUGUUUGUAUAUCUCUGUUUAUUUAUGAGUGUUUUAAUAGAAUAUUUUAUUCUCUUUUAUUAUUUAUAUAAUCUAUUUCAGGUCAAGGUGCAGCUAUAUUAAGGUUAGUAAUGGGCUACAUUUUAUUUUAUAAUAAUUUGGAUUUAAUUUAAUGUAUUUUUUUAAUGAAAUUGGAUUUAGUAGUAAUAAUUAUUAUUUUUUAUUUAUGAUAUAUGUUCUCGGUUAAGUACACAUCGCCCGUCGCUCUCAUAUUAAGAUGAGAUAAGUCGUAACAAAGUAGGUUUAUCGGAAGAUGAGCCUGGAAUUAUA
rnacentral:ncRNA from 1 species